rnacentral:rRNA from 1 species
UACGUAGGGGGCAAGCGUUGUCCGGAAUCAUUGGGCGUAAAGAGCGUGUAGGCGGUCCGGUAAGUCCGUUGUGAAAGUCAAGGGCUCAACCCUUGAAUGCCGGCGGAUACUGUCGGGCUAGAGUCCGGAAGAGGCGAGUGGAAUUCCCGGUGUAGCGGUGAAAUGCGCAGAUAUCGGGAGGAACACCUAUGGCGAAGGCAGCUCGCUGGGACGGUACUGACGCUGAGACGCGAAAGCGUGGGGAGCAAACAGG